ncrna:unclassified sequences pemK RNA
AUAAUGAUACUUCUGUCCAGCCACAGCCCCUGCACUGCGGGGAUUACGCAAUGGGGGCAGCCCGGUGAGACCCACGGGGAGGUUAGAUUCCUAUGG